GCACAACGCGAAGAACCUUACCUACCCUUGACAUGCCAGGAACUUGCCAGAGAUGGCUCGGUGCUCGAAAGAGAACCUGGACACAGGUGCUGCAUGGCCGUCGUCAGCUCGUGUCGUGAGAUGUUGGGUUAAGUCCCGCAACGAGCGCAACCCUUGUCAUUAGUUGCUACGUAAGGGCACUCUAAUGAGACUGCCGGUGACAAACCGGAGGAAGGUGGGGAUGACGUCAGGUCAUCAUGGCCCUUAUGGGUAGGGCUACACACGUCAUACAAUGGCCGGUACAGAGGGUUGCCAACCCGCGAGGGGGAGCCAAUCCCAGAAAACCGGUCGUAGUCCGGAUCGCAGUCUGCAACUCGACUGCGUGAAGUCGGAAUCGCUAGUAAUCGCAGAUCAGCAUUGCUGCGGUGAAUACGUUCCCGGGUCUUGUACACACCG
rnacentral:rRNA from 1 species